CAGAAAGUUCGGCAUCGACGGGGCGGGAGGUGGGGGCGCUGCCCCGCGCCUUUGUUCAGCGGGGAGAGGACCUGCGGCGGAGCCGAGACGACCGCGCAGAUAGGCACGCACCCGGCAGCGCGGCCCCGCGCCCACGGGACGAGGAGGAGGAGGGAGGCAGAAGGUCCCCUUGCAGCCUCCCUCACUCUCUCCCUCCCUCCAAGGUCAAAACAUGGCUGUCCAAAGAAUGGGAUGCUUGCCAAAACAUCAAUCUGUGCUGAGUGCCAUACUCAUUAUCCUUCCAGUGGUGGAUUACAACUCGGGUCUCCUCAGGAGGUGACUGAUGUGGAACAAACUGUACGACUGUCUUUGCUGUUUGGAUACGUGUGUAAGUUAACGGGCUACUGGGAGAAGAUGAAGAGGCUUUUGCAGAAAAAUGAGGAUAUCAUGGGAAGUGCUGCUGCUAACCAUUUGGAUUAUAUUGCUGUCUGACACAGAAGUUCUGCAGAUUACGUAAGGAACUCUCCAGAUCUUUUUUGUUAUGUGAUUGCUGAAGCAUUUUCCUGGCACAGCAGUAAUGAUUGAUGAACACACUUCAGACUAGGAGCCACAGAGCAGUGAGGAUUUAUGCAUCUGGAAUAGAACUAUGAAUGGGAUUGCAGGAUUUACAUGGAGGACUCUGAAAUCCCUCACUUCCUGCUCCAGGAAGGGGGCCUGCUUUGUGACCUGGGGUACAAUCUAUGUCUGCUACUGAAGCUAUCUUGACUGGCAUGAGAAAUGUAAGAAUUUUGAAGAAACUUGGCCUGACAAAUAUCUGUUUGCACAUUUGGAUUUAUGAAAACUUCUGAUCACUCUGUGUCAUGGUCCCCUUCUGUAACAUAACAGGGCUGUCCGCAUAUACAGAGGUGCAGCACAGCCCCUGGCUCUCAAUACAACCUUCAGAUGAAGGAGGAAAAAUAACAGUUCCAGGCAUUGUAAAAGAGGACCUUCUUCUCUGAUGAGGACAUUGCUGAGUUUAACUAGCAGAAGGUGGUAUUUUAUGACCAGCUGCCUGUGGUGAAGAAAAGAAAUCAGUUUUCGGAGAACCAAAAUCCCAGAUUUUUACCACGGAAUUAUAUGUAGUAUCUUUACAUCACUACAUGAUGCAGAUGGAUCACUCUUUGCCAGCUGCCAAAUCAAAUAUUGCUGUACAGUCUCUACCUUCAGCAACAUCCUCAGUGUUCUGGUGGUGGGUCCCUUGAAAGGAUGGGGCAGAACAGACUUCAUGCCACCCCUGUACUUCAAGCUCUCUGCUCUGCAUGAAGCUGCACUGUUCAGAAGAAGCAAGAUUCUUUCCUCACAGCUACGGCACUGCGACACAGCCUGCUUUUUCGCAUUUACCUGGGUGGCUGCUGCUGGUUCUGCUGCUGCUGCUGCAGCCUCGCUGCCUGCGCUUCACCCCAGCUUGGCUGAUGCGAGCCUCCCUCGUCUGCACAUUGCUAAGGAAGAGAAGCGAUGGAGCCGCAAUUUUUUUGUUGGUUCUGGAAGCAAAGGGUUGUGAUGUGGGGUUGUUUGGGGGUUUUCUUUUUUUUUUUUUUUUUUGGUGGGGAGAGAAAGGAGGGAUGUUAAUCUAGGGUGGAGUGGGUAAAAGCUUAAAGAAAUAUGAUGAAAAGUAAUCCAGUGCUCAACAAGGGCAUCAGCAGCAAGAAUCCAGCCUCUGCUGCUCCAGAGGAUUAAGAUGGGGAAAGCCACAGAACUGCAGUCGAGUUGCACCUCAGCGUUGUUCUGGAGAUGGAUAAACAAGUCUGUUUGCUCGAAUGCAGUACUUACGGAGAUAGAGUUGCUGAGAGAAUGAGAAGACAGUUUGGGCCACAGUCAGAAUUUGAUCAAGACUUGGGAAUUUUGAGGUUCAGACUUGUGGGCUAAAUGCAUCUCUACCCAGAAUAAGAUUACAGUCUGUGAUGAACUGAAACAUCCCUGUUCAUCACUCAUCAUCCUGUGGAGUGCUAGCCUGAAAACUUAUGUCACGCUCAAGAUUAACAAGGGAUUAAGAGUGAGCAAUGGAUUUUCCAGGUAUCUACCAUCCCAUAAACAAAUUAAGGCUGUGGUCCAGCAUCAGAGAAUGUCCACUCCAAAUUCCACAGAGGAUGACAACAAAGCCCUUCACUGAGGAAGAGAGAAGUUGGAAAGAACUGAACUCCUGGUGAAGGCACAGAGCAAGCU
rnacentral:lncRNA from 1 species